rnacentral:tRNA from 1 species
GUGGUGGCUCAGUGGUAGAGCUCAUGCCUAGCAUGUGUGAGGCACUGGGUUAGAUUCUCAGCACCACA